UAUUGUUCUUCAACGAGGAAUCCCUAGUAAGCACAAGUCAUCAGCUUGUGUUGAUUACGUCCCUGCCCUUUGUACACACCGCCCGUCGCUACUACCGAUUGAAUGGCUUAGUGAGACCUUCGGAUCGGUAUUCAAAAGUUGGCAACAACAUUUGUUUGCUGAAAAGUUGUUCAAACUUGGUCAUUUAGAGGAAGUAAAAGUCGUAACAAGGUUUCCGUAGGUGAACCUGCGGAAGGAUCAUUAAUGAUUUUUUAAGCAAACCAAGCGAAAGCGAGGUUUUGCGAAUAUAUUUAAAACCCCACUCUUAAUAAAAAUUUUCAUUCAUUCAUAAUAUGAAUAAAAAAGAGAUCACUUUCAACAACGGAUCUCUUGGUUCUCGCAUCGAUGAAGAACGCAGCGAAAUGCGAUAUGUAGUGUGAAUUGCAGAGGUAUGUGAAUCAUCGAAUCUUUGAACGCAAAUUGCACUCUUUGGUAUUCCGAGGAGUAUGCCUGUUUGAGGGUCGCUUAAUAAACAUCGAUUUCAUUGCUUUUUUUAAAGUGAUGUUUAUCGGAUUUGAGCCGUCUUUUUUUUAUAUAUUAUAUAUUUUUUAAAAGUGGCUUAGAAUUUGAUUUUUCUGGUAUGAUCGAAG
rnacentral:misc_RNA from 1 species